GAUGAAGAACGCAGCGAAAUGCGAUACGUAAUGUGAAUUGCAGAAUUCAGUGAAUCAUCGAGUCUUUGAACGCACAUUGCGCCCCCUGGUAUUCCGGGGGGCAUGCCUGUCCGAGCGUCAUUGCUGCCCUCAAGCACGGCUUGUGUGUUGGGCCUCCGUCCUCCUCCCGGGGGCCGGGCCCGAAAGGCAGCGGCGGCACCGCGUCCGGUCCUCGAGCGUAUGGGGCUUCGUCACCCGCUCUUGUAGGCCCGGCCGGCGCUUGCCGACACAUCAAUCUUUUUUCCAGGUUGACCUCGGAUCAGGUUGGGAUACCCGCUGAACUUAAGCAUAUCAAUAAGCGGAGGA
rnacentral:misc_RNA from 1 species